rnacentral:lncRNA from 1 species
UCCAAUCAUCUAUCCAUUGAUAAGAAGUUGAACAAAAAUCCCAUCUCCCAUUCCAAAUCCAAUCAAGUCCUCCAAUUAUUGGAUAUCUCUGGCUAACUCUCUUCCUUUCUCUAAUCAGAUAGAUAACACAUCUGAUCCAGAUGUCCAUGACAAGACACAACCUCCAUAGAAACACACACAAUAAUUACUUCAAUAAUAACGUAUAUAAUUACUUUUUUACCACUUUGUUUACUGUCCAAGAUAUAAAUUGUCUGUCUGACACCUGCAUGCAAGCAGGAGGAGGAGGAGGAGGAGGAGUUAAAACUCGCGGGGCUCAAGGGGUAAAAAACAGAGAUGAAGCAUUCAUUCAUUCAUUGGAUGAUGGAUCAAUAAUUGAUAGGUGAGAGAGCAGAGCAGAGGAAGAAGAAAGAAGAUCUUGAAAAGCUGCCAUGGGAGAUUUCUUCAGAGCAAACUGUUUACUUACAGUCGUAGUUACUAUCUAGCUUUCUUUCUAGCUACAACUCUAAGCGAAGAAGAAGGGUUUUUUCUGAGUGAUGUGAUGGUGCUAGCUGCUGCCUCUGAUAAUUAGCCCUCUGCAGAGUCGAGUUAUUGCAAUCAUUAUAGACUCUGGUACAUGUUUCUUGUAAAGUGUGUAGGGAAAAAUAUGUUUUGUUCUUUUUAUGCUCUUUCGCUUUUCCAUGUCGGGUCAUCUUCACUCUGCUAGCCAAGCUAUAGCUGCAAUCCUGCAGCUACUCCCUACUUGCCCUUAAGGCUCCCCCACCACCACCGCCCAUUCUCUCAGUUGACAAGGUUAACCAAG